rnacentral:tRNA from 1 species
GCGGUUGUGGCGAAGUGGUUAACGCACCUGAUUGUGGUUCAGGCAUUCGUGGGUUCGAUUCCCAUCAGUCGCCCCC